GAACUUUCGACACUGGACCAUCAAAUCUUUACCAGACAUCGGGACGAAGCUCCCCAGUUGCUGGAGGCAUCCACCUUCCAGAGUUGUACACAUUUUCACCCACUUUCCAACCAGGCACGUCUUUCAUGAUUCUGGCCUCUUCCUCGAGAUACUUCUUCCAUUCUUUGACAAAUCUAGAAGAAACGAGAGCAAAAAAAGAAGAAAAAUAGAAUAAGUGCUACUUCCUUGUGGGAAAAGAAACUGAUUUAAAUAAUCAAGACUAGUAAUAGGACACUACAGAAAAUACAUCACCUUUCAUCCUCUUCGGCUUGAAGCAAUGGCAAUAUUGCCCUGCGGGCAGCAUAUUUUUCUUCCUUGAGCGCCCUGUACAACAAAAAAAACCAUCAACUUCCACUUUACAUAUAUUACUCAUAUAACUACUCCAGGCAUUAUUUGGGGAUCCUCUCCUUAUAAAGUAACAGCAGCAUUUAACUUGCUACCAAAGUGCAACUAAAAAUAAACUUAUGAAGAUAAGAAAAAGGAUACUAUGUACAUAGGCAUCUGCAAAUACCAUAUACUAUUUGUCAUUUAUUAGAAUAUUGUGAAUGAAAUGGAGAAAUGUACUUUAUGUUCUCCAAAGAAAUGUGGCAAUAGAACCACCUGGUAUAUGACAAAGACCAACAACAUUCCUUUUAUGGAGCUUAUAUUUUGCCAAACCAAAAUAAGUUGAUUUCAUAAAUCUCAGGUUCAUCUCGACUUUCUUAAUGCGUGAUAAAAGUUAUAUGAUCCAUUUCCAAUAGACCGCAAUGUUUUAAUGAUUCGUAGGAUCACAUUUAUUUUCCUGCUGUAUCUCAAGAAAAUUAGCAAAAGAUAUAAAUAAGGUGUUACAUGACUUGAUAAUUUGUCAGAAAUCUGAACUGCUUUUGCAUGGAAAAAAAAAUAUAUAAAAUUUGUUUAAUAUUAUUCCCAACUACAUUUCGGUUUGCCAUUCCAUUUAAUAAUAUGUGCAUUGCUUGGAACAUUAUAAUUUCCCUAUAAUUUAGUGGUCAAAGUCAAAAAUUUCAACCAAACAUUUCAUAGAACCCAAAGCAAAUACCUACUUAUCCACCACUCAUUUCUAUCACAUUAAUAGCUUAUAGUUUUAUCCUAAGUGCUUGUUUGGGUUCCAAUACAAGCUCCUUAUAAUUUAAAAAUCAAAAUCAAACUUUAAUUUUUAACCAUACAUUUCAUAGAACUCAUAACUUCUACUCCAUUAAUAUACCACUCAUUUCUAUCACAUUAUAUUUUAGCAACUUAUAAUGAUACCCAAACAGGCACUUAGUCUCAUAUCCUUAUGGACUUCAACCCUUUGAUGCUCGGACUCUUCGAAAUAUUUAAAGUACUCGUGUCGGACAUGACACAACAUGGGUAUAGGAUAUAUAUCGGAUCCUCCAAGUUUUAAUCGGAUACUUUGUCGUUUUUGCUUCUUUCUUCUUUCUUUUUCUUUCUCGUUUCCGCUCUCUAUACUCCUAGUGUCGCCACCAAGAGGGUGGACAAAGGUAGCAACACUAAGUUUUCCCUUCUUCUUUCUUUUCUCUUUCCUUUUUUUUUCAUUUUUCCCCCUUCUAUCCUUUUGUAUAUCGGUAGUUUAGGGUUUUGUUUGUAUAAAAUAAAGGGAAGCGUUCCUCCUACACAUGAAUUUGACAAGUAUUUUUGACAAAAUAAUCGUGACCUUUAGAUGAAGCAAAUCUAACGGUCAACAUGUAUUUCACUAGGAUCAUGGGAGAGCUAGUUAUAAACACUUGAGAUCUAUGAGAUACUAACUGUUGGAUUUGCUUCAUCUAAAGGUGUCAAGGACCGCAGCUUUACUUAGCCCCUUGACACUAUCGCAGCCGCAGUUUGCCCAACUUCGGCCGCACAUUGUAAAUAUUACUUCAAGUUUGAGUUGUAAUUUUCGUUUCAUUGUAAUAGUUAUUUUAAUUGUAAAAUAGCUCUGAUAUUGGUAAAAGAUUAGUAUGAUUCCUCGGCUUUUAAACGUCUACUCCCGUCACUUGGGUUUUUGUUCAGAAUGCUAUUAUAGGGGGUAUUAGUCAUUCAAAAAUCUUUCAAGCUCACUGGUGUCCGCCCCCUGCACCAGCAUUUGUAAUUUUCUGCUUUCAUCAAUUGUAAUGUUCAGUUUUCAGCAAUCAAUGUUCAAUUUACUUUCAAUGUAUUCAAAUUCUCAAUUGUAAGCUUUCUACAAAAUUGCAAUCAAAUUUUCUUUCGUCCCGACGCGACGGACUUGACAAAGUCUGCCAGGUUGAGGCCAAGUAUCCUGCUUUGCUUUUUAAGCAGCAGCUGACUGCUUACGUUGAGAAGAUCUAUGGUAUCAUUCGAGAUAAUUCAAAAAAGGACUUGUCAUCACUUCUUUCUUCAUGUAUCCAGGUAGCACUUCCUCGUUUCUAAAUUAAAUCUUUAAUGAUCUGUUGUGGUUCUGUAUGACGUAGCCUUUUAUGUUUUCUUGUCUUUCGUAUUUAGAUUUUGUAUUUUGUGUUUCAGGACUUAAGGAAUAAAUCAUGUAAAAUGUUUUUGUAUUAGUUGCAUUUCAGUAGAGGUUUAGAAGAUAAAUCACCCUUCAAAGAACUACUUCCCUCCGUCCCAUUUAUAUAAGCUUGUUUUGUUUUUCACACGGAUUAAGAACUCUUAUUUAAUGUUAUUAAAAGUUUUUUUGCCAAUAACUUGCCUAGUUUACCCUUGUUUAUAUUUGUACAAUUUCAAGAUUAAGGGAAAAAAUUGGUUAUAACUAGACAAAUUAAAUAAGGGUGUAUUAGUAAACGAAAAAAAAAACAAGCUUAAUAAAGAAACAUGACUAUAUAAUCAGGACAAGAAAAUAAGGAAAGUAAGCCUAUAUAAAUGGGAUGGAGGGAGUAUUUAUUUCGAAGCCAAUAUUUCUAACUAUUACCAAAAAUGGAAAUUUCCUCUCCAGUUCUUUUACUGUUUCUUUUAUCAGUAACUUCCAAUUUUUUCAUUGUUUAUACCAUAUUCAAGAGUUUUGAACUUCAUAUCUAAUGUUUUAUAUAUGGUACUUAAUAUUUAUCUUCCUAACAAUUCAGACACCAGGAACGACUACAGAAACAAUUCAGGUGCCCAGAACGCCUACAGAAACAUUUCAGGCUCCUGGAACGUCAACAGAAACAAUUCAAGCACCCGGAACGUCAACAGAAAAUUCUUUGCGAUCAUCUGGUAUAUCCUUCGACAGUAGAUAUCCUACCAAUGACUGGAAAAGCAUCAUUGAGAGCCUAAAGGGGACUCUGAGUACUCUGCAAGACAAUUUUGUAAGCAAUACUAACUAUAUUAAUACCUUGGAAGUUCUAUCCACUCCAAUCUUACAAUGCUUGUUUCAGGUGCCUCCCGUCCUUGUUCAGAGAAUAUUCACGCAGAUCUUUUCUUAUAUUGACGUCCAGCUUUUUAAUAGGUAGCUCUUGUAAAAGCCCUGAUAUUUUCUUUUUAUAAUAUUACCAGAUUUAUUUGUGUGGUGUAACAUUGUUGCAUUUUUCUCAGCCUUCUCCUUCGUAGAGAGUGCUGCACAUUUAGCAAUGGUGAAUAUGUAAAAGCAGGUUUAGAUGAAUUAGAACUUUGGUGUGGACAUGCAAAAGAAAAGGUAGACUUUUGGUUUUAGCUGGUUAUUGCCAUGCAUCUAUUCCUUUAUAUUUUUAUAGCAUUGGUUGUAUAAGUUUAUGCAUUUGGAUUACUCAUGCUGCAAAUUGUAGAUUGUCUAACUAUGAAUCUUGUUUCAGUAUGUGGGCUCAUCUUGGGAUGAAUUAAAACAUGUACGGCAGGCUGUAGGGUUUCUGGUAUGUUUCUUGUUCUCUUGCUGGCAAAUAAUUUUAAAUCACCAGUAUUUACUGCAAUUUAUUGGACAUCUGUGAUGAUUUAUCAUCAAUUGAACUGAAAUUGACACAUGUUGAACAUUGCUGAAGUCUACUUAUACUUUUCACUCAUGUUGACGAGAAUUAUACAGCCUGUAGUUUGACUCAAAAUCUUACCUCAUCUGCAGGUCAUACACCAAAAGUUACGAAUAACCUAUGAAGAUCUUACUUCUGACUUGUGCCCUGUAAGCCUGUCCAUCUUUGUGUAAUAUUUUCCUUCUUUUCUUGAUUGUCUCAUUUUCUUAUGUUUCUUCUCUUUACCUGAUUCUUUCAUCAUGUUCCAUUCACUCCCUGAUAGAGAAUAGAAUUAGUGCAAUUUUUUCUCAUCACUUUGAAUUCAAAGUAGUGAUGAAUUCUAGCACUGAUAGAAGUACUAUUCCUUAACUCAAUGCAAGAAUAAUUCACAGAAUUUCUGUAAUUUUCUAUUUUACUGAUAUUUUAUUAUCUUUUGAUAUUCCCAGAUGCUAACAAUUCAACAGCUUUAUAGAAUUUGUACUCUCUACAGGGAUGACAAUUUUAAUACUAGCAGUGUAUCUCCAGACGUAAGUUUCCGUUCUUCCAACUGCAAAUAUGAAUUCAAAAUUGUAUCUCGAUUUUCUCCUAUAUCCCUACAUUGGAUUUCUACAGAUAAUCUCUAGCAUGAAGAAUAUCAUGAUGUUGGACUCUCAUGAUGCCGAUAGCAACUCCUUUUUGUUGGAUGAUAACUCAAGGUAUCGUUGUAAGAGAUUUUUUUUCUCGACUCAUAAAAUUAUGUUCAUAUAUUGAUUAUCUUGUUUUUGCUGCUGCAGCAUCCCUUUCUCGGUCGACGAUAUUAGCAGUUCUCUCCAGGAUUCUGAUUUUACUGGUGUGAAAGCAGCAGCAGAACUACUUAAACGUCCAUCCUUUCAAUUUUUACAGGGAUAAGGCUCUUCUUUUCUCUAGUCGGGUCAAUCCCAUAAUGCAAAUUCACUCCACUAUUUGCUAGAUAGAUUUCUCCAUAAAUAUAUCAUCGACACUGACCCGGAUGUAUUACUCGAUUAGAUUGUAAAAUUCAUAGGUUUAGUCAAAUAGAUAGAACGGACAGAUGAAUAUUUUCGACAUAGUAGUCCUUCCUCUUGGAGCAUUCUUUAUAGCAACUAAUGACUGAAAUAAUCUUUGGGAAGCAGUUGUUUCUAGCCUCCCAAAUUUCAGUUGUAUAAACAAAAAUAUCUUGUCUCAAUAGUAAAAAUGUGAAUGUUUGGGUUAUGCAUUUAUUAAGUGUAAGAUAAUCGAUUUGAUUUGAUUUUCUUUUUUAAUUGCUGCCUACACUUUGGUUUUCAGUUUGCAGAUUUUCUGAACAUAAAUAUUUUCCUUUUAUACUUAUUCAUACUUCAAUUUGAGCUGUUGCUUUGGAAGCUGGUUUGUGUAUCUGGAGGUGUUGAACUUAGGUUGUGGUGAUAAAGUAGAUUGGGCUAUUGAAGCUUAGGGCACUUUUGGACGUACACUAAGACAAGAUCAGUGUUCUAAAAAAGCGCUUAGAUGAGAGGCAUAGACAAAACGCUUUGCCUCGAUAAUAAGUGCGAAUUAAACGGUCAAUUGUUAAGUUGACUGCUUAAUGUGCGCCUAGAAGUUCUUUAUUAUCUUCGUCUUCUUUUUUUUUGUAAAAAAUAUUUUAUUUGAUUUUAGUUUAUUAACUUUUAUUAUUAUUAUUUUUUCUUUUUUUUUUUUCGUUAAAAGGUUUCUAUUUGAUUUUAGUUUCAAGUUUUUAAAUUGUUAUAUAUGUACAAAAAUAAAAAAUGACUUUAUUCGAUAAAGAUUUAGAUAAGAUUUAUCUAUAUUAUGUAAUUAUGAUUUUGAAAAUUUGUUUUGCUAGAAACUUUGAAAGUAUGAAAGAAAUUCCUAUAAACCUGUCUAGUAGGAUUUGUUUCAUUGAAAGUUGAAAAAUAUGAAAAGUAGUCUAACUUACACAUUUUGAAAUUUUGAAUUGACUAAUUUUAGAAAUUAUAAAGUAAAUGUAGUAUUUCAUAAUUUUAGAUAUUUGGUAUAUAUUAUUUUAAUUAUUAAAUAAAUUUUAAAAUGAUUAAGUAUUUAAAAUAAUAAUAAAAACGAACUACCAAUAUUUAAUGUAGGGGUAUAUUAAAAAAAGGAAGUAAAAUUUAUAGUUCUAACUAUAAUAAUUAAGUUUUUUAAUUUAUGUGAAAAGGGCAAAAGGAGAAUAAUGAAAAACUUAAAAAAUUAAUAGUUUUAAUGUAACACUAUUCAUUACAUCAAAUUGCUGGGAAGUUUUAAUGUACCAUUGGAGAUAUCCUAUUAACCCAAAGCUAAACAAUAUUGAUUUGCCAUUUUUUUAUUUUUUAACUCAAACCCAAAAAAGAGCAGAUCAACAUACACCGGUACUAAUAUUGUGCAUGAAACUAACAUAUAGAAAAAUAAAUUCAAUUGGAAAAUAUGAUAGCUUGAUUUUACGAUUACGUCAUUCAUUGUCUGUAAUGAUACAAUUGUGGUUUUACUUGAUUUUGUUACGACGGAGAAUGUGGUCUCUCCUCAUGGCAUUCGACUAUUUCUUCUGCCGUGUCUUGUUCCAAUUCUUCCUAAUGGUUGUGUUGAACAAGAAAAUCUAGAGUUCCGAGUUAUGCUUUUUGAGAAAUUUACCAUUGAUAUGACCUUCGGCUAUAACCAUUUCACAGGCACUCAAAAAUAAUUUGUGCUCCUUAUCGUCCCAUUUGACCUUUUUCCUUAAUUUUAAUUAUCAUCCUCAGAAAUAAUAAAGCAUUUUCAACAUAUCUCCACUUUUCUGAAAAUAUUUUCCAGCUUCUAAAUUAUGGGAAUACUCCUCUCUCUUAAGAAAAUGAUUAAAAAACUAUUCUGUCGAAAUUAAUUUAAUAUUUCGACUUCUUUGUGUUGUCUCAUGUGAAUUUGGGUAGAAGACUCAUUUAUCUUUAGUAAUCCUUACAAAAUAUCCUUCUAGACUUCAUUUGGUAUUUUUUUCCAUCACCUUGAUUCUUAAGCAUUAUCUCCUCUUGCACAAGCAUAUUAUGCAAUUCACGUAUUGAGGUUUAUUUGUAAUUGACCAUACUUAGAAGGUGAAGAGUAAUUGAUAAAUUAUUCCACGAAAUUCUCAUCCAUAGUCAUCCUUGGAGUCUUAAGUCUUGAUAUAAUAUUAGACAUCUUAAUGACAUGCUCGUGUACAGUGUGGGAACCAUCAAAAUUCAUGACGGUUAAAGUAGCCAUUAUUAGUGUUGUAGCAAGUGACUUAUCAUCAUUUUUGAAAUGCUCUUCAACAAACUUCAUAAUUUCCUUAAGCAAUUUUCAGUUCUGAGAAUAGUAGACUUAUAUCCUUCUCUAAGGUGAGUUGCAUGAACAUUAGACCUUGGAAUUGGAUUUGUUCAUCCUAAUUAGAGAAAUUAAGCCCAUUGAACAAUGAAACGUAAGAAGCAUGUGAAUGUGCGGAAACAAGAACAAACACUACGAAAUAUCAAAAUAUAAAAUGGUAGUACAUUAAUGCUUUGGACAAUUUUAACAAUUUUAUAAUCUAUAAACGUCAAUGUACUCACAACAAUAUAUAGUAUUGAUUAUGUCAUUUUCUUUUAUAAGCAUCAAUCUAUCAUGAGCAACUGACGUAAAAUAUGUAAUUAAAUGGUCAUAGUACCAUAGGAUUUGGCCACUUUGAUCACUAACAAACAACAUUAAUUGAACAUUAAAUUAUGCAACUUUAAUUUACAUAAAGAAACAUUUAUACAAAUAGUUCAUAAAAGCUUUAAAAUGAAUCAGCAAUAUUAGUUUAUCAAUUACUGCAUAAUAUAGAGAUGAUAAUUAAAUGUGUUAUCCAUAAUCCACCUAAUAAAUUAAUGUGCCAUGACAUCAGUGAUUAGUAUAAGCUAAGAAUCGAUGAUUAGAAUAAGCUACGCAACUGCUUUAUAGAUCAUUUCAAUAGAUAUGUAUAACAAGUAUAAAACGUAUAAAAAAACCAAGUUCAUUAAUAGAAGCACUGUUAUCUGUAUAUGCAUGCCACAUGUCUAUAUAAGGAAACAGUGAUAACUUGAUUAUUGUGUAAUAUUUAGGUUUCAUUCAUUUACAGCUGCAGAAUAAUUAAUUUACUCAAUUGAAAAUUAAUCUUCAUGAUAAAACAAUAAUCCUGAGACAAAAUCAUAAUAUUUCCAUUGACUUUUCUGGUUUUUUGAUCCAUAACCAUAACCAUAACCAUAAUUUUUUUUUUUUAUCAAACCUGCAAAUUAAGAGAAAAGGAAACUGUAUUUUCUCUCUUAACCACUUUCUUGUAUUUACUUCAAUUGAUAAGUAAAUAUAAACUUUAAUGAGCAGAGAGAGGCAGUUUCUGAUAAAGAAGUGUCCACCCUCCAUCAAAGUGAGUUAAGAAAUUAUCCACUUCUUAAAUGUACUAAUAAAUUUUGGUGCUUCUGUUUUAAACAACUUAAUGAAUUUAAACAAUGAAAUUAAGAUUACCAAAAUCAUCAAGAUUAUCAAAAUCUUAGAUCAAGUUUACAUCAAGAUUAUCAAAAUCUGGUUGAUAUUUAAACAAUUAAAUUAAGAUUCAAUUUCAAAACAAAAAUAUGCAUAGAAUAAGGGGCAAUAUAUUCUCAACUAACUUCUGAUUCUGAUAUUGUGAAUUCAAAUUUUGUCAAUCUUAACUCUAUAAAUCAUUAUAUAAAGAGAAAAUGUUAAUAACCAGAAACACUACCAGAGAAUUACUUUUCUUGAAAAUGAAAAUCCUUUUCUGUUUACUGAUCUUAUUUUUUCGGUUUGCUCAAAUACUGAGUUCUUUUCACUUCUCUAAAGGAUAUGAUGUUCAUGUUGUGAAUGGGAUACACCUAAGUCCCAAUCCAUUGAGGAUUCAUUGUGCUUCCAGAGAUGAUGAUUUAGGAUAUCAUACACUAAGUGAAAAUCAAGAUUUUCAUUGGCACUUUUAUGAAGAUAUACUUCUCAGAACAUUAUUUUUCUGUCACUUUUGGUGUGGAAAGAGGCAAAAAGCUUUUGUUGUUUUUAAGGAUCCCACCGCCUGUCAUAUUGGUCAAGGGGACGAUGAUCAUAAUCAGUGCUAUUGGCUUGUAAAAGCAGAUGGGUUUUAUUUUGCCAAAAAAAAUCCCCCUUCUCCCUCUGAUUUGAAGAAAAAAUAUGACUGGGAAUUAUCCCCUUAGACAUUAUAAUCUUCACAUUAUACUUAGAUUAUGAAAUAAAAGAACAUAUAGUUAUGUUUAAUGUCUGUUGUCUCUCCUCUUGCCCAGUGUAAAAUGGGUUAUGUAAACAAAUUUUUUAUUUCUUUUUUGCUUACCAAAUUAGUUCUUUUAAGAAGACCAAAGAUGCUUUAGAUGUGUUGUCCGGAGCCUGGGCAGUCUAAAUUAGGUUUAUGUCACUAUUCAAUAUAUAUUGAGCAGUGUUCUAAAAAACGAGCCUAACCACGAGGCUCGGGCCAAACGUCACACCUUGGCAAUGAGAGUUUAAUGACACUCAUUAAUUUUAUUUAUUUAUUUAUUCUUUCAAAAGCCUUUUUAUUUGACUUUAGUUUCAAGUUUUUAAAUGAAUUUACCUCUACAAAAGUUAAAAAUGAAAGCAUGUUAGAAAAUUUCAAGUAGGAGUUCUUUAGUUGGAAAACUUGAUAAUUAUAAACCUGACUAAUUGUAGAAAUUAUUAACUAGUGUUUUAUAAUUUUAGAUGUUUGGUAUGCAUUAUUUUAACUAUUAAAUAAUUUUUAGAAUGAUUAAAAAUUUAAAAUAAAGAUAAAAAUAAGAAAACACUUUUUAUGCCUAGGUCGGUAAAGUUUGAAGUUUGGUCUCCACGUCUAAUCACGCUUUAUGCUAUUAAGAACACUGAUAUUAAGCGUCACGUGAUGUGGAUGAUUGUUCUCUUACUAAAACUAAUUCAAUAAUACAAAUAUUUUCGUUUUUUCGAAACAAUAUCAUCAACGAAAUUGAAGGAAAUUGUGGAGCCAUAGCAUAUUGAUUCAGUGGAUUGGUGUAAUGUAUGGGUGGAUGAGAAGACUGGUUCCAAAUGAUGAAAUUGAAGGCAUUUUUAUCAUUAUGGAUUGCAUGUUCAUUUAUUUUAGACUUGUAUGUCGACUAGUAUCAGAUAUAUAUAUAUCGCAGUUGGAUAUAAGAAGACAAUUAGUAUAUAAACGUAUUUAAAAAUUGACCCGUUAGUCUUCCUUUUGCCUCGAAAAAUAUUAGAUAGUAUUAAUCCAUAAUCAUCCACAAUUUAGUUCUAUAUUUUUUAUUUACAUAGUAGAUGUAAAAUACCACAUGCAUGAUUGUGAUGAGACCAAAUUCUUUAGUUAAAUAUCAAGUCCAUAUUAAUAAUUCAAUAUACCUCACUUUCCAGUGUUACAAAGUGAAAAACUAGAGUCCCCCACUGAUGUCAUUUUGUAGCGUCACUCAAGGCUACUCGAUUAUUGAUAUGUUCAUCACUAUGAAACAUUUGGUAUUUCUAAAGAGUGGGUCGAACUUAACUAAAAUUAUGCCUUUUGUCGAGUCAUUCAACAAGAUGAAAUAUUAUACAAAGAUGUAAUCGAUAUAUCUAGAUGUUCUAUUAAGUUUUUUUUAAGUCACUUAAGGUUCUAAUAAAUCAAAUGGGAUUCUCACUCAUAUGAGACCCAACGGGGUUUUAUCAAUUAAUGUAGAGGGUCGUUAAUUAAAGUCAAACGGUGAGAGUAAACUAAUUUGCUUGAAAAUCACAUUAAAAAUAAUCAGAAUUAAUCUAGUGGAUCCCACACCUCACGUGAGAGGGGUGUACACGCUUAGGUACACCCCUAUAUACCAGUAGCAAUACCGAAUUAAUUAUUACAUGUUUUCGUGAGCUUGCAUAAUGCAUACUAUAAUUGAUGCUAACAAGUUUACUACACUGAAUUCUUUGUAUUGCCAUGUCAUUUGAGAAUUAUUCUCAAACACGAGAUGAUCAGGAAGGCUCUUCAUAAGACAAUUCUGGACUAAUAGAAGGAUAUCGAAAAUAAAAUUACAACACUUCCCUAACUAAACUGAAGAGUAAGAAGCUAGAUAAAGCCUCUACUUCGAAGAUUAACUCGUAACUUUCUUUUACCACUUAGGUAUUAGAUUAUUCUCAAACAUGAGACAGUCAAGAAGGCUCACAAUUAUGGACUAAUAUAGAAGGAUAUCGAAAAUAAAAUUACAAGACUUCUCCAACUACACUAAAGAGUGUGAAGCUAGAUAAAGCCUCUAUUUCGAAGAUUAACUCGUAACUUUCUUUAAGCGCUUAGGUAUUAGAUACCGGAUAUGAAUCGAACUUUUUAACAUAAAUAUGCAAGGGCUAAAAGUCGAGUCCUGCAAAUGGAAGUCAUUUACCUACUUGCUGCCGAAUGGUAUGCGCCAUGUGAAUAAAAAGUUUGCUAAGCUAAAAGGAAUACAAAUCAACAAGAUUUAGCCAUGUUUGACCCCCUUUUUCAGAGAUAAUAAGUUCCCGUUUGGCCCCAUUAUUUCAAAUUUUAAUGAUUGAAAUAAUACUUUUUGAAGAACGAGUGAUUUAAAGAGAAAAUUUUUUCAAUUUACAUAUAAUAUUAAUUUAUGUAAAAUUCUGAAGUUUAAAUAAGAGAGAAAAAUAAAAUUUAAUUUAAUAAAAGCCUAAUGGAGACUAAUUUUUGUAACAGUGAUUUAUUCUAUUUUAUUUUAUUUAUUUAUUAUUAUUUUUUUUUGGGAAGAAUGCAAGUUAAAAAGUAAUGAAAAAUUUUAGAUUUACGCGCAAAAUAAUUGGAAGAUUGUAGUUAAAAAUGAGCUCGAAGAAAAAUGUGAUUUUGAAGAAUGUAGUCAAACAAGGGCUUAAUUAGAUUCUAGCAAUGUCAUCGCUGCCGUAAAGAUGCCAAGUAAUCAAAUAAAGAUCUUAUGGGCCUUUGAAAAAAGAAAAAAAGAAACCACAUGGACGUUUAUUAGACUGCGAAAGGAAGAUAUAAAUCGUAAAAUCUGAAGAGUCCCAUACAAAUCAGAGGAUUUCAUGGGUCCCACAUUUUCAAGCAAAAUGGACCGUGUUGGAAAAGCAAAUUGACAGAUUUUUGUAAAGUAGCUUGAAUAAGAGUGAACAGAUUUUUUAACAUCAUUUUUAUUUAAAUGAGAAUUCCAGCCAGAGGAUAGUGCAAUGUCGCAGGAAAGAAACUAUGUUACUGCUGAAACCCAUUCACCAGAAGAACUUUCGACACUGGACCAUCAAAUCUUUACCAGACAUCGGGACGAAGCUCCCCAGUUGCUGGAGGCAUCCACCUUCCAGAGUUGUACACAUUUUCACCCACUUUCCAACCAGGCACGUCUUUCAUGAUU
rnacentral:lncRNA from 1 species